rnacentral:tRNA from 1 species
GCCCCGGUAGCUCAACGGAUUGAGCACCUCUUUGGCUAAGUGGCAGUUGCGAGUUCGAAUCUCGUCCGGGGCA